rnacentral:lncRNA from 1 species
AUGCCACUUCCCCUGCCAUCUCUUGUUCCAAACCCAGGGCGAGUGGGGAGAGCCCUAGAGAAACAUGGAGAAGGCAGGGCGAGAGCGCAGCGCGGCGGGGAGCGCGCCCGGGGCGGUCUAGACACGGCAGCGAGCGCCGGAGUAGCUGCAAACGGGUGUGAGCUGGAGCUGCCCCCGGUUCUGCAGAAGAAGGCAGCGCGCCUUCCCCGCGCUAUUGCAAGAACCCUCACCCCGCACGAGGGCAGUGGGAGCAUACAGACCACCUUCGAAACGUACAAAAACAGGAGCUUCUUGGGAAAUGCUCUAGGUGACAAGGGCGAGUCAGAAAUGACGGCGGCCUUUUGGCUAAGCGGAGGGACUCUGCCGGGAACAGCGAGCCCCGGACCGUUUCAGGAGCCCGGCGUGUCGACCUUGAGUCCCCGUGUAGGUGAUUAACGAAUUUUUAAAAAGGCUCCGACCGCAGAGUUCCCUUCAGCUAGUGCGUCCAACAGCAGAUCUUCCAUCGCUUAGCUAAGUCUCCGUGGAAUAAAUACAUACAUACAUACAUGAAUAAUAAAUAAAUAAAUAAAUAAAUAAAUAAAUAAAUAAAUAAAUAAAUAAAUAAAUAAAUAAAUAAAUAAAAAAAACCCGACACUAAACUGAAAACUACAGAGUGAGUCCAUCAAUGGCCAGUCUCGGUCGGGGCACAAAGUGCUGGAGCCCCGAAGCUGCAUUCCGCGCCUCCGGUCCGCGGCUGCGAGGCGGGGGAGGCGGCUUGCGCUGGUGCCUGGUGUAUAAUCGGGUUAAUCCAGGAGACAAAGAAUAAACCAACAGCCCUCCCACCUCACUUCCCGCUCCCCUUCCCCUCCCCCCGCUCCUCUCCGCGUCGCCCCCUCGAGGGGGAACCGAAAAGGGGAGAGAGGUGGGCCGGAGAGCGGAUCCCGAGGAAACUCUCAGAACCUGCGCCUCGUUGUUUUCGUGCCAGCACAGCACUGCGUGGCCCGGGUCGGGCUUGGCCGUUCCCUUCCCCUCCCCCUUUCCCAGGGGCGAGGAGAAAGUGCCCCAGGUCGGGUCCGAGCCCGCGGCUCGUCCUCGCGGCCUCCGGGGAAACCUUCGGGUCGGGGUUUCCGUGCAACUAGGCAGAGUGAGCCGCGGUGCCCGGCGCGGCCCCGGGGGCGCCCCGCGCGCCGGCGCCCGGGCGGCAGGACCGGCCUGGGGACGCGCGGGGCGGCGCGGUUGCCCUUUUGAAUGCCUCCUGCGGCUCGGAGCGCUGGCGGGCGCUGAAGUGUGAGUGAAUGUAGCCCCGCGGAGCCAAUGAGCUGGGACCGGAUGCGAUAUAUCCUCUGGGACAACAACUGCUCUGUUCCGCCUCGGAUCCACAUGACGCCAUUUACUGCUGCCGCGGCCGCCGCAGAGCUCGCUGCCUCCGGAAAGACGAGGGCGCAGGCCAACGGCGAGCCCCCCCGGCCGGGCCCCAGACCCGCCUCCCCCCGCCCCCCCCGCCCCCCGCCCCCCGCGCCCCCGCCGCCCCCGCCUCGGCCUCGCCGCCGCGCCUCCACAACGCCCAGUCUGCAGCGCUGAGAGCCGCGCGGCGCAGCGCGAGCCGAGCAGAGGGGCCGGCGGAGCGCGCAGCGCCCAGGCCCCCGCGCCCGCGCCCGCGCCCGCCCGGCCCGGCCCGCGCCCCCGCGCCGCCUCCGCCUCCGCCUCCGCCUCCGCCUCCGCCUCCGCCUCCGCCCGGCCGCCGCCGCACCGCUUGGCCAUCUGGCUUUAGACUCUCUCCGAGGCGGCUUUCUUUUUCCCCUUCGCUCGUCCGCCGGGAAAGGAGACUAGCCGUUGGCGCUUCGGCCUCCAGUUCAUUGAGAAAAAGGAAAUACUCCGCGUGCGUUUCUAGAAGGGGGGUCGCCCCCAGCCGCGAGCCCCGGAGUGAGUGCUUGCUGCUCAUCGGCUGGGGACUUGGCUCCGGAUUUUCCUCUCCUUUUUUUUCCUCCCGCCGAUUGCUCGGAACUUGGAGCGAAGCAGAGUUUGGAAAGAAGGCGGGGGGGAGGGGGGGGAGUUUGCAUCGGGGCUGGAUUUUAUUUGCACAUCGCAGGAGGCAGCGAAUCCAACGGAGAGGGGUUGGUGCAAAGCCGCGAUCACGGUGAGGCACGUUUGGCUCUUCCCCUCCUGGCGCCUUGGCCGGCGCGUUGUGGGCAACAUGGAGUAGGUGCGGCCGGACCCGGAGAGGGGUCCGUCUCCACUCAGGCCUCCGUUUCUCCAGCCCCGCAGGUUCCCGGCGGGGACCCCGGGGAGCUGCCCGGCCCCGGGCCCGGCCUGGCUCGGCGGGGGCUGCAGCGCGCGGGGUCGGGCGUCCGCAGCCCCAGGACCCCAGGCGCCCGCGCUCUGGGGGGUUGGGGCGGCCGCGGAGUCGGCGCGGAGAGCGGGAGACGGAGGCGGAACACUUUGUGUGUUCCAGGUCCCCGCCGUAGGCGCCCGCAUUUCUAACCUGUUCUUGGGGGGGGGGGGCAAGCCCUGGGCGACAGGGUCCCGGGGCAGGGGCGCCAGCGGGACGGAGGGCGCGCGAGUCGCUCGCCUCCGGGGGCAGCGGGAGCCGCCGGUGAAGCCUGGGCAGGGGCCGGGGCCGGGGCCGGGGCCGGGGAGGGGGGCCGGGCCGGGCCGGGUGCGAGCGUCCCCCUGCCGGGCGCCGGGGCUGCGGUUCGGAAGUGCAGCUUUCUCCUUUUUCCGUUCUCCGCGGUCGGCCUGGGUCACACUUGUUUUAUUUUUGGAAGAUUGGGCGGACCUAGCACAGGAAGAAAGUCCUCGAGCGGUCGCUAUCGUUUUCCAUUACCUGAAAAUAGGUGGCAAAAGAGGUUAGGGUUUUUGGUUUUUUGGUUUUUUGUUUUUUUUAAUUUACUUUGAUGGGCUGAUCUACUUUUUUGUUGCUGUUGCUGCUGCUGCUGCUGCUGCCUUGAAUUCGGAAUCUUGUGCGUUUUUACCAAGCGGUUUCUGGGUCUGCCCCACCCUCGUGCUGAAGUCCUUGCCCCUUAGUCCUUAAGUCCGAUCACACACUUCUUCAUGGGGGUUUCUGAGCACUUUCGGGGUGGGGGGUAGGGGAGCGAGGGGGGUGGGCGGCGGGUGCUCUGGGUGCGAAGGAGGCUAGGAAUGGGCAGUGAUCAUUUUCGAUUAAACACACACACACACACACACACGCACACACACACCACCACCCCUUUCAAAGAUGCUGCUCUGCACUGCGAGCAAAUCUUGGCGGAAAGUUUCCAGCCUAGGGAUCUGCGUCCUGCACGCCCUGUGCAGUGGGGCCCUGGGACUUGACCUUUCUUUAAAAAGCAACUUUCCUUUCACUUUUUUCUCUCCGCCGGAAAGGAGAUGGGGUGUGCAGACUGCAGCCGGUGCCCCCUGGGUCAGUGCCUGGUAGAGUCGCCCAGGGUGCGUGGCUUGUGUGCUCGGUCCCGGCAGCGUGUCUAAGGCAUGGCUUUCGGCGCCAGGGCUUGAACCCUGUGCCGGACGUUCGCUGGCCUUUGCCAGGUGGACCUGCAAGUGGGCUGCGGGACCUCUGGGUGCCUGGGGCCGGGGUGGCUCCCUCCUGGAGCUGGAAGGCAGUUCUCUGGAGUGGGGGGUAUGUUAGCCUGGAGGUGGGCGGGGGAGUGUGCCCCGGCGUUUGCAGGCACGUCCCCUUCGGAGGCGCCCGCACACCCCCCACCCCCGCCCCCGCCCCCGCCUUCUAGUGCGUCUUGAGGUUGUGUGCUGGGGGGAGGGCAGCUGGCCUCUGGGCUGUGUCAGUCUCCCCGGGGAAACGUCCCCCGGGGCUCCGACUGUGUCCCACCUGCUGGGGACGGUGUUGGGACGCAGAUAGAGCCGAUACACGGAGUGAAAGCAAAGAUCGACGUUGUCUUGUCUGCCUUUCUGUUGGGAGAUCCGGUUUCCAGCUCUACCUUCUUCCGAGUUGGGAGGCGUGUGUCACCUGCCUGUGUCUCUUAACAAAAAUCGGAGACUGGAUAAAGGUCCACUUUUGCCCGUUUUUGUUCAUUGUAGACUUGGCAAAGGGGUGUGUGUGUGUGUGUGUGUGUGUGUGUAUGAUAGUUGUGAAAUUUACAGAGGGAUUGCAAUUUAAGUGAUUACACGUCAGAAUGAUAGAUUUGAGACGUGACAAGAAUUUUUGAAACCCUUCCUGUUAUCCCCAGUCAGUUCAGGUUCUGAACUAUUAGGAUUUUUGACAUAAUUUAUUUCUAAAACCGGGAGAACGAGUCUUUUACAGUCUUUUAGCUGCAGAAUUAAAGAUACUCUCUCAGGCUAUCAAACUGUAAAGUAUUUGAUCCUCAGGUUGUUGAGCAUUUGAAAAUAAGUUUCUGUCUUGUUGCUGGUUGGUUUGUGUUCCUGGCACACCUAACAGGAUUUGAAUGGAUUUGUGUUUCAUUUAAAACUUUUGCUACUAUAUAGUUAAUAAUGUUUGACUGUUGUAAAAUUUGUAACUUCCUUGGAGGGGCGAGUAUUUGCUUUUUUGCAAGUCGCAUUCAUUCUACGGUAUUCUAAAAAGCUGCAGAAUACUGGAUGAAUUAUAGUUAAAGGUAUUUGAUGUAAAAGCAGACAAGAAAGACUUUCUAUUUCUAGGCUGCAUUUAUUGCUGUUUAAGGCAAAAAUGCCCACGACAAAGUUAAACCUAUCUCAGAUUUUGAAAAAGUUUUCAACUUUCGCAUAUGUUGGCAGCAGUGUUCUGUUCUAACGUUAUAUUCCUGCAGCCUUCACAUUGAACAUGAACCUUGCAAUUUUAUGUUUAUUUGAAUAAGGAAUCGUUACCUAUGUGAUUGAACCAAGAUCAGCUUUGUGUCUCUACACAUCGCAAGAUUAAAGAAUCGUCAGUACCCGGCUUUAAUUUUUUUACUUUUUGGUGUGGCGUUGAUCCUAUGGCUCUUCCACCACCCUCCGUGAGCAACUCCCAUUUCAAAUCCUGUCUCUCUGGGGGAAUGGAAAGGAAAGAGUUAAUUCAGGUGGGCGGAGAGUGGGAAGUAUCCUGGAGUGUAAACCAGCUCUUUCCUCUUGGUUUCUGCAGGAAUUCAGAUGUGUUCUAAGCCCGCUGGAGU